CCUACGGGAGGCAGCAGUGGGGAAUAUUGGGCAAUGGGCGCAAGCCUGACCCAGCAACGCCGCGUGAAGGAAGAAGGCUUUCGGGUUGUAAACUUCUUUUCUGAGGGACGAAGAAAGUGACGGUACCUCAGGAAUAAGCCACGGCUAACUACGUGCCAGCAGCCGCGGUAAUACGUAGGUGGCAAGCGUUAUUCGGAUUUAUUGGGUGUAAAGGGCGUGUAGGCGGGAAAGCAAGUCAGAUGUGAAAACUCAGGGCUCAAGCCUGGGCCUGCAGUUGAAACUGGUUUUCUUGAGUGCUGGAGAGGCAAUCGGAAUGCCGGGUGUAGCGGGGAAAUGCGUAGAUAUACGGCGGAACACCAGUGGCGAAGGCGGAUUGCUGGACAGUAACUGACGCUGAGGCGCGAAAGCGUGGGGAGCAAACAGGAUUAGAUACCCUAGUAGUC
rnacentral:rRNA from 1 species